CAAAGAAUAGUUUAAUAAAAAUAAUAAUUUUGGAGAUUAUAGAUAAAUUUAAAUAAUUUUUCCUUGA
rnacentral:tRNA from 1 species